AAAGUCGUAACAAGGUCUCCGUAGGUGAACCUGCGGAGGGAUCAUUACAGAGUUCGUGCCCUGACGGGUAGAUCUCCCACCCUGUGCUAUCCAACCGUUGUUGCUUUGGCGGGCCCUGAGCUCACCCUCGGCCCGCCAGAGGAAACCUAACCCUGAAUGUGUGUGUCGUCCGAGUACUAUAAAAUAGUUAAAACUUUCAACAACGGAUCUCUUGGCUCUC
rnacentral:misc_RNA from 1 species